AAAAUUAGAGUGUUCAAAGCAGGCAGAUCCAAUUUUCUGCCACCGAAUACAUUAGCAUGGGAUAAUGGAAUAGGACCCUGUCCUCCUAUUUUCAGUUGGUUUUGGCACGCGAGGACCAGGGUAAUGAUUAAUAGGGAUAGUUGGGGGCAUUAAUAUUUAAUUGUCAGAGGUGAAAUUCUUGGAUUUAUGAAAGAUUAACUUCUGCGAAAGCAUCUGCCAAGGAUGUUUUCAUUAAUCAAGAACGAAAGUUAGGGGAUCGAAGACGAUCAGAUACCGUCGUAGUCUUAACCAUAAACGAUGCCGACCAGCGAUUAGGAGACGUUGAAUACAAAACACCACCAUCGGUGCGGUCGUCCUUGGCGCGUCGCGGCUUGCCGUGGCGUGCGAGGGCGGUUUAGCCUGAUGGCAUCGGUGAA
rnacentral:rRNA from 1 species